AUGGCUCAGGAUGAACGCUAGCUACAGGCUUAACACAUGCAAGUCGAGGGGCAGCAGGACGAUAGCUUGCUAUUGUUGCUGGCGACCGGCGCACGGGUGAGUAACGCGUAUCCAACCUUCCCCUUAGUAGGGCAUAGCCCGGUGAAAAUCGGAUUAAUACCCUAUGUUAUUCGUCGAGGACAUCUGAAGUGAAUCAAAGAUUUAUCGCUAAGGGAUGGGGAUGCGUCUGAUUAGGUAGUCGGCGGGGUAACGGCCCACCGAGCCCUCGAUCAGUAGGGGUUCUGAGAGGAAGGUCCCCCACACUGGUACUGAGACACGGACCAGACUCCUACGGGAGGCAGCAGUGAGGAAUAUUGGUCAAUGGGCGAGAGCCUGAACCAGCCAAGUAAGCGUGCAGGAUGACGGCCCUAUGGGUUGUAAACUGCUUUUAUACGGGGAUAAAGUGAGGGACGUGUCCCUUAUUGUAGGUACCGUAUGAAUAAGGACCGGCUAAUUCCGUGCCAGCCGCCGC
rnacentral:rRNA from 1 species